AACCAUAGAAACCUGCGGAGUACCUGCGGAGGGAUCAUUACAGAGUUGCAAAACUCCCUAAACCAUUGUGAACGUUACCUAAACCGUUGCUUCGGCGGGCGGCCCGGGUCCUUCCCGGCGCCCCUCGGCCCUCGCGGGCGCCCGCCGGAGGUAAACCAAACUAUUGCGUUGUAUGGCCUCUCUGAGUCUUCUGUACUGAAUAAGUCAAAACUUUUAACAACGGAUCUCAGAUCGGAAGAG
rnacentral:misc_RNA from 1 species